CAUUUAGCUCUGCAGUGAGCACCACUUGCAAAUGAUAGUCCUAAAAGUUAUUAAAAAUGUAACACCGUGUUCUAUUUUAGUUGCAGAGUACAACUGCAAAUGUGAACGAUAUUGUAAACGAGCGUGUAUCCAUAUAUCGUUUUUCCCGUUCCACUGCGUUACUUUUUCAUUGUUUUUCUAUUGUUUUUCAUUGUUUUUGGUUUUGUUUAUGCUCCGCCAAGCGCGCAUGUGGUGUUGCCAUGUCCACUUAUUAUAAGCAUCUUUGGGAGUCUUAUUUUCUUCCAAUACUAAGCUGGAGUGUGUACGGCCGAUCAUUCACAUCUGAACAUCGCUUAGACACUAAAAACAACUCCUUGGUAAAUAAAAAGCGGACGAGCGCACAAUUCUCAUCUAACGUUAGUCUCCCCGACCACGGCAAACACGGAAGUGUACUGUUUUAACCCGCGACGGAGAUAAACUUACUUUCUUCCGGGAAACACGAAGGGUGGUGGAAAACAGAAAGUAAUGAGGAAGAAGAUGCAAUGAAUGUUAAAGCAGAAGCAGUACCACAUGACUGCAGCUACAAUCAACAGAGCUCCAGCAGCAGCAGAAAUCAGCACUAUGUACGAUAAAGGAGAGAGUCACAUGACCCACAUUCACCACUGAACACA